AUGGCUGCCAAAAUCCUCUGCUAUGUCUCAUUUUGUCUCCUGGGGGCAGGAUAUUUUGAUGCCGAUGUUAUCCAGCUCCCAAGACAUCUGGUCAAAGGCAAAGGACAGAGAGCCAAGAUGAGCUGCAGCCCUGCAAAGGGCCACACUGCUGUUUAUUGGUAUCAGCAGAGCCCGGACAAAGAAUUCAGAUUUUUCAUUUACUUUCUGAACCAAGAUAUUAUUGAACAAAUAGACAUGGUCAAGGAGCGAUUCUCAGCUGAAUGUCCCUCCAACUCACCUUGCAGUCUGGAAAUCCAGUCCUCUGAACCAGGAGACUCGGCGCUGUACUUCUGUGCGAGCAGUAUGUUUGGGAAAGGAACCGAAAUUGUCUUUGGGAAAGGAACCAGACUCACGGUUGUAGAGGACCUGAGCGAGGUGAAGCCACCCAAGGUCUCUGUGUUUGAGCCAUCGGAAGUGGAGAUCUCCGAGAAGAAAAAGGCCACCCUCGUGUGUCUGGCCAGGGACUUCUACCCCGAUCACGUGGAGCUGAGCUGGUGGGUGAACGGGAAAGAGGUCCGCAGUGGGGUGAGCACAGACCCGCAGCCCCGCAAGGCCGGGCAGAACUCCAGCUACACCCUGAGCAGCCGCCUGAGGGUGUCAGCCGCCUUCUGGCUCAACCCACGCAACCACUUUCGCUGCCAAGUCCAGUUCUACGGGCUCACGGAGGAAGACGAGUGGACCGAGGACUGGGCCAAACCCGUCACUCAGAACAUCAGCGCCGAGACCCGGGGACGCGCAGACUGUGGCAUCACCUCAGUGUCCUACAAACAAGGGAUCCUGUCCGCCACCCUCCUCUACGAGAUCCUGCUGGGGAAGGCCGCCCUGUAUGCUGUGCUGGUCAGUGCCCUGGUGCUGAUGACCAUGGUCAAGAGAAAGGAUUCCUGAUGCCAGUCCUGGAGGUGGAGCCUGGAGCUUCCAAUCCAUAAUGGUGUCAAUACAGACUCGCUUUUUCCAGUGCUUCUGACACGCUGUUCUCAUUUCUCCCUUCAUUCCAAUGUGUACCCUCUGCACAAGUAUGACUGAAGCCCUCUUAACCUAGAGAAAAAAAAAACUCACUUGCCUAUA